GGGGGUAUAGCUCAGUGGUAGAGCAUUUGACUGCAGAUCAAGAGGUCCCCAGUUCAAAUCUGGGUGCCCCGUACA
rnacentral:tRNA from 1 species